GUACUUCUUGCUGUGCGUGGUGAUGUGGCACUGCAGCUCCACCUCGGUGCCGAAGGACUCGCCGCAGAAGAUGCACUUGUGCACCUUGCCCUGGUUCUCCAGGUGGUUGUGCUUGACGUGCAGCUGCAGGUCCGUCUCGUUGCGGAAGUCCCAGUUGCAGGAGGUGCAGCGAUACACUUUCUUCUCGUUACUGUGCUUCACGGCCAGGUGGAGUUGGAUGGAGACCUUGGAGUCGAACACCUCCUGGCAGAGGGUGCAGCGGAAGAAGACGAAGGUGUGCAUGUCCAGCAGGUGUUUCUGCAGGUCGUCCACCGACGUGAACUGCUUGUCACAGCUCUCGCAGAUGUAGUACGUGGAGGUGAUCAUGAAGUGAAUGGUCACAUGCUUCAGCAGGGACUCUUGGUUGGGGAACUCCUUGUUGCACUGAGGGCAGGUCAGUUUCGGGAGCACAGUGUCCAGGUGGGUCUUCAGGUGAGUCUGAAAGCCGUCCAGGGACGUGUACUUAGCACCACACUGAUUACAGAUAUAUUCUCCAGCCUGCCUUGCAGGCGCCCCUCCUACCGCCUGCAUCAUCUUCAGAGAUGUCUGCUCUAUGGCCACAGGUGACAGGGGACUCAAGGCCCUGGAUUUCUUCCCGUUGUGGAUAUAAUUCAGGGCCAAGGGAAUGUUUUUAUGAUUCUCUUUGAUGUGCUUGUUCAGUUUAAGAACGCUGUUGAAUAUGGGGNNNNNNNNNNNNNNNNNNNNNNNNNNNNNNNNNNNNNNNNNNNNNNNNNNNNNNNNNNNNNNNNNNNNNNNNNNNNNNNNNNNNNNNNNNNNNNNNNNNGGGCCCUGGCCGGGUUGCCCAGGUGGCUGUGCUUGACGUGCACCUGCAGGUCGGCCUCCUUGCGGAAGUCCCAGUUGCAGGCCGUGCAGCGGAACAUCUUCUUCUCAUUGCUGUGCUUCACCGCCAGAUGCACCUGGAUGGACACCUUGGAGUCGAAGACCUCCUGACACAGCGUGCAGUGGUAGAGCACGAAGGUGUGCAUGUCCAGCAGGUGCUUCUGCAGGUCGUCCACCGAGGAGAACUGCUUGUCGCAGCUCUCGCACACGUAGUGGGUGGACGUGGUCAUGUAGUGCACGGUCAGGUGCUGCAGCAGGGACUCCUGCGAGUCGAAGUCCUCCUUGCACUGGGGGCACGCCUGCUUCCGCAGCAGCAGCUCCAGGUGCAGCUUCAGGUGGGUCUGGAAGCUCUCAAAGUUGGAGAACUUGAGGUCGCACUGGUUGCACGGGUACUCGCCGUUGGAGAUGGAGUUGGCGCUCGCCGAGAGCCGCUGCCGCUUCGGGGAAGACACCUCCACGUCCGACGAGACCGGGCUCUGUUCCGCCUUGGACUUCUUACUGUGGGCCAGCGGGAUGUUCUUGUGGUUCUCCUUGAUGUGCUUGGUGAGCUUCAGGAUGGAGCCGAAGAUGGGCGAGUUGGUGCAGUAGGGGCAGGAGUAGACCUCCAUGAAGGACUGCGUGGGCUGCACGACCGGGGACUCCAGUUUGGCACUGCCCACGCUGCAGUGGGCCUGCUGGAUGUGCUCCGUGAGGGAGGACUCGGUCAGGAAGCCCAUGGAGCAUUGGUUGCAAAAGAAGGCGUUGUUGCCGUCGGGCGGGUUGGCGUUGGGGCCGCAGUGGGAGACCCGGAUGUGCUCCUGCAAGCUGUUGAUGUCAGCAAACAUCUCGGGGCAGUAGUUGCAGUGGAAGGCGGAGAUGCUGCCGAACUGCAUUACGGGGUACGCAUGGUUCUUGUGCAGCUUGCGGACGUGCUCGUUGAGGUUGUAGAGGGUGGGCAUGGAGUCCAGGCAGAUCUGACACGUGUGGCUCUGCUGCGGCUUAUCCGCAUGGAUGGUCUUCAGGUGGAUCUCCAGCACGGCCAGGCUGUUGAAGUCCCGCUUGGAGCAGUAGGGGCAGCUGUACACCACCUUGGACCAGCCCUGCCCGUCAUCCCGCAUCUUCUUCUGGCCCCGCAGCGGCUUCAAGGUGGAGUCCGGGGUGGAGCCUCGCUCAACGGAGGCGCUGGAGUCUGGUGUGGCGCUGCUCAUAGAGGCCACGCUGCCCAGCACGGGGUCGGGGCUGACGCUGUGGUUGCUGGAAUCGGGCUGCCGGUGGCUGUCCAGGUGGCAGUAGACGCCCUCCACGGAGGAGAACUGCUCGGGGCACAUGGGGCACUUGUGUUUCUGGUUGGCGUGGGCUUGGUGGAUGUGGGCGAGCAGCGUGUUCUCGUCGACAAAGACCUCGGGGCAGUGGAUGCACUGCAGGUCGGCCUUCUCGGAGAGCUGGGGGUGGCGGGUGAGCACGUGCUUCUCCAGCUCCUCGGUCUGGCUGAAGGUGUCCUCGCAGUAGUCGCACAUGAAGUCGUCCUUCUUGGCCUCCUUCUCCGACUUGGCCAGGUGCUCCUUGUUCUUCUUGUGGGCCUGCAUGUGGCUCUGCAGCGAGCUGGUGGAGGAGAAGCCGCGCUUGCAGACGGUGCACUUGAAGGGCUUGCUGGAGCUGUGGGUCUUCAGGUGGAUCUUGAGGUGGUCGCUGCGGGAGAAGGCCGCCUCGCACUCGUGACAGUGGUACUUCUUGUCGCCCGUGUGCAGCUUGAUGUGCCGGUCGCGGCUCCUCUUGUGCUUGAAGAGGCGGCUGCAGUAGGUGCACUUGAACGGCAGCUUGUCGCUGUGGAUCUGUUCGUGCCUCUUCAAGUAGCUCAGGCGGAUGAAGGACUUGUCGCAGAACUGUGA
ensembl:lncRNA